GCGUCCAUAGCUCAGUAGGAUAGAGCGGUGGUUUCCUAAACCAUGUGUCGUGGGUUCGAUUCCCUCUGGGCGCACCA
rnacentral:tRNA from 1 species